GCAAACUGAUAGGAUCAGGGAGCAUCAGAACCUCUGUUCCAGCUGUGAAGGCAACUUAACAGACAAAAUCUAGAACAAGAUAAGGAAGAAUAAUGAAGAUUUUGUGGAUACUGCUACUUGUUGGCAUCCAGAUAAUGACCAUACAUGCUCAAACAACUGGAACAGCUUCUCCUACGACCACGACUGCUCCAACAACCACAGCUGCUGCAACAACCACAGCUGCUCCAACAACGACAGCUGCUGCAACAACAACCACAGCUGCUCCAACAACCACAGCUGCUUCAACAUCCACAGCUGCUCCAACAACCACAUCUGCUGCAACAACGACCACAGCUGUUCCAACAACCACAGCUGCUGCAACAACCACAGCUGCUCCAACAACCACUGCUGCUCCAACAUCCACAGCUGCUCCAACAACCACAAGUGCUCCAACAACUACAGCUGUUCCAACAACGACCACAGCUGCUGCAAUAACCACAGCUACUCCAACGACCACAGCUGCUCCAACAUCCACAGCUGCUCCAACGACCACAGCUGCUCCAACAACCACCUCAGCUCCUGUAGCAGCAACAACAAUUCUCACUGCUACAACUUCAGCAACAACCACAGCCUCUGCAGGAGUUACUUAUAAAGGAAGUUUUCUUUUAAUCACAGCACUCAUUGCAUCUGCUAUUUUGAAAUGAAGAAACAAUUGUUUAAUGCAAAGAAAAAAUGUCUACAAACUUUUAAUGAUUUAUUGAAAUUUAUGACUGUCUUUUAUCUUUUU